rnacentral:rRNA from 1 species
UACGAAGGGUGCAAGCGUUACUCGGAAUUACUGGGCGUAAAGCGUGCGUAGGUGGUGAGUUAAGUCUGUCGUGAAAGCCCCGGGCCUCAACCUGGGAAUGGCGAUGGAUACUGGCUCGCUAGAGUGCGGUAGAGGAGAGUGGAAUUCCCGGUGUAGCAGUGAAAUGCGUAGAGAUCGGGAGGAACAUCAGUUGCGAAGGCGGCUCUCUGGACCAGCACUGACGCUGAGGUGCGAAAGCGUGGGAGCAAACAGG